UCAAGCGACUAAGUGCAUCUGGUGGAUGCCUUGGCGAUGAUAGGCGAAGAAGGACGCGUUAGCCUGCGAAAAGCACGGGGGAGCUGGCAAAUAAGCAUUGAUCCCGUGAUAUCCGAAUGGGGAAACCCGGCCCUUUUGGGUCAUCCAUGACUGAAUACAUAGGUCAUGAGAAGCGAACUCGGCGAACUGAAACAUCUAAGUAGCCGAAGGAAAAGAAAUCAACCGAGAUUCCCAAAGUAGUGGCGAGCGAAAUGGGAAGAGCCUGCAUGUGAUAAAUCAAACUUUAGUGGAACAGUCUGGAAAGUCUGGCGACAGUGGGUGAUAGCCCCGUACACGAAAAAGAUUGGUUGGUACUAAGCAUGCGACAAGUAGGGCGGGACACGAGAAAUCCUGUUUGAAGAUGGGGGGACCAUCCUCCAAGGCUAAAUACUCAUCAUCGACCGAUAGUGAACCAGUACCGUGAGGGAAAGGCGAAAAGAACCCCGGGAGGGGAGUGAAAUAGAACCUGAAACCGGAUGCAUACAAACAGUGGGAGCCCUUGCAAAAUGGGGUGACUGCGUACCUUUUGUAUAAUGGGUCAGCGACUUACGUUCAGUAGCAAGCUUAACCGAGUAGGGGAGGCGUAGGGAAACCGAGUCCGAAUAGGGCGCAUAGUUGCUGGGCGUAGACCCGAAACCAAGUGAUCUAUCCAUGGCCAGGAUGAAGGUGCGGUAACACGCACUGGAGGUCCGAACCCACUAAUGUUGCAAAAUUAGGGGAUGAGCUGUGGAUAGGGGUGAAAGGCUAAACAAACUUGGAAAUAGCUGGUUCUCCUCGAAAACUAUUUAGGUAGUGCCUCAUGUAUCACUGACGGGGGUAAAGCACUGUUAUGGCUAGGGGGUCAUCGCGACUUACCAAACCAUGGCAAACUCUGAAUACCGUCAAGUGCGAGCAUGGGAGACAGACUGUGGGUGCUAACGUCCAUGGUCAAGAGGGAAACAACCCAGAUCGCCGUCUAAGGUCCCAAAUAAUCAGUUAAGUGGAAAACGAGGUGGGAAGGCAUAGACAGCCAGGAUGUUGGCUUAGAAGCAGCCAUCAUUUAAAGAAAGCGUAAUAGCUCACUGGUCGAGUCGUCCUGCGCGGAAGAUGUAACGGGGCUCAAACUGAUAACCGAAGACGCGAAUAUGCACGAUGUGCAUAUGGUAGAGGAGCGUUCCGUAGGCCUGCGAAGGUGUCUUGAGAAGGAUGCUGGAGGUAUCGGAAGUGCGAAUGCUGACAUGAGUAGCGAUAAUGCGGGUGAAAAGCCCGCACACCGAAAACCCAAGGUUUCCUGCGCAACGUUCAUCGGCGCAGGGUGAGUCGGCCCCUAAGGCGAGGCAGAAAUGCGUAGUCGAUGGACAACGGGUUAAUAUUCCCGUACCGAUAUAAAGUGCGAUGGGGGACGGAGAAAGGUAGGUCAGCCCACUGUUGGAAUAGUGGGUUUAAGCGAGUAGGCGUGUGGCUUAGGCAAAUCCGGGCUGCUUUAACGCUGAGACGUGACGACGAAGUCUUCGGACUGAAGUGAUUGAUCCUAUGCUUCCAAGAAAAGCCUCUAAGCUUCAGCUUUAUAUUGACCGUACCGCAAACCGACACAGGUGGGUAGGAAGAGAAUUCUAAGGUGCUUGAGAGAACUCAGGAGAAGGAACUCGGCAAAUUAUCACCGUAACUUCGGGAGAAGGUGAGCCCAUAUUAGGUGAAGGCCCUUGCGGCUGGAGCUGACAUGGGUCGCAGAGAAAUGGGGGCUGCGACUGUUUAUCAAAAACACAGCACUCUGCAAAGUCGAAAGACGACGUAUAGGGUGUGACGCCUGCCCGGUGCUGGAAGAUUAAAUGAUGGGGUGCAAGCUCUUGACUGAAGUCCCAGUAAACGGCGGCCGUAACUAUAACGGUCCUAAGGUAGCGAAAUUCCUUGUCGGGUAAGUUCCGACCCGCACGAAUGGCGUAACGAUGGCCCUACUGUCUCCUCCUGAGACUCAGCGAAGUUGAAAUGUUUGUGAAGAUGCAAUCUCCCCGCUGCUAGACGGAAAGACCCCGUGAACCUUUACUGUAGCUUUGCAUUGGACUUUGAAGUGGUUUGUGUAGGAUAGGUGGGAGACAUUGAAGCAUGGACGCUAGUCUGUGUGGAGUCGUCCUUGAAAUACCACCCUGACCCCUUUGAGGUUCUAACCUUGGUCCGUUAUCCGGAUCGGGGACCGUGCAUGGUAGGCAGUUUGACUGGGGCGGUCUCCUCCCAAAUUGUAACGGAGGAGCUCGAAGGUCGCCUAGGUACGGUCGGACAUCGUACUGAUAGUGUAAUGGCAUAAGGCGGCUUAACUGCGAGACAGACAAGUCGAGCAGGUGCGAAAGCAGGACAUAGUGAUCCGGUGGUUCUGAAUGGAAGGGCCAUCGCUCAACGGAUAAAAGGUACUCCGGGGAUAACAGGCUGAUUCCGCCCAAGAGUUCACAUCGACGGCGGAGUUUGGCACCUCGAUGUCGGCUCAUCACAUCCUGGGGCUGUAGCCGGUCCCAAGGGUAUGGCUGUUCGCCAUUUAAAGUGGUACGUGAGCUGGGUUCAAAACGUCGUGAGACAGUUUGGUCCCUAUCUGCAGUGGGCGUUGGAAAUUUGAGGGGGGCUGCUCCUAGUACGAGAGGACCGGAGUGGACAGAUCUCUGGUGUACCGGUUGUCACGCCAGUGGCAUCGCCGGGUAGCUAAAUCUGGAAGAGAUAAGCGCUGAAAGCAUCUAAGCGCGAAACUCGCCUCAAGAUGAGAUUUCCCCAAGGCUUUAAGCCUUUUAAAGGGUCGUUCGAGACCAGGACGUUGAUAGGUCGGGUGUGGAAGCGCAGUAAUGCGUUAAGCUAACCGAUACUAAUUGCCCGUAAGGCUUGAUCCU
rnacentral:rRNA from 1 species